rnacentral:rRNA from 1 species
CCGUGAAAAAAUUAGAGUGUUCAAAGCAGGCAGAUCCAAUUUUCUGCCACCGAAUACAUUAGCAUGGGAUAAUGGAAUAGGACCCUGUCCUCCUAUUUUCAGUUGGUUUUGGCAGCGCGAGGACUAGGGUAAUGAUUAAUAGGGAUAGUUGGGGGCAUUAAUAUUUAAUUGUCAGAGGUGAAAUUCUUGGAUUUAUGAAAGAUUAACUUCUGCGAAAGCAUCUGCCAAGGAUGUUUUCAUUAAUCAAGAACGAAAGUUAGGGGAUCGAAGACGAUCAGAUACCGUCGUAGUCUUAACCAUAAACGAUGCCGACCAGCGAUUAGGAGACGUUGAAUACAAAACACCACCAUCGGUGCGGUCGUCCUUGGCGUCGGUCUUCAAAAGCCGGCGCGGGGGUGGCUUAGCCCGGUGGCACCGGUGAAUGACU